AACGAACGCUGGCGGCAGGCCUAACACAUGCAAGUCGAGCGAUCCUUCGGGAUAGCGGCGGACGGGUGAGUAACGCGUGGGAAUAUGCCCUUCACUACGGAAUAGCCCAGGGAAACUUGGAUUAAUACCGUAUACGCCCUUUGGGGGAAAGAUUUAUCGGUGAAGGAUUAGCCCGCGUUGGAUUAGGUAGUUGGUGGGGUAAUGGCCUACCAAGCCUACGAUCCAUAGCUGGUUUGAGAGGAUGAUCAGCCACACUGGGACUGAGACACGGCCCAGACUCCUACGGGAGGCAGCAGUGGGGAAUCUUAGACAAUGGGGGCAACCCUGAUCUAGCCAUGCCGCGUGAGUGAUGAAGGCCUUAGGGUUGUAAAGCUCUUUCAGCUGGGAAGAUAAUGACGGUACCAGCAGAAGAAGCCCCGGCUAACUCCGUGCCAGCCGCCGCCGUAACAC
rnacentral:rRNA from 1 species